UACGUAGGUGGCAAGCGUUGUCCGGAAUUAUUGGGCGUAAAGGGAGCGCAGGUGGGAAUGUAAGUCAAUCUUAAAAGUGCGGGGCUCAACCCCGUGAUGGGAUAGAAACUACAUUUCUUGAGUGCAGGAGAGGAAAGUGGAAUUCCUAGUGUAGCGGUGAAAUGCGCAGAUAUCAGGAAGAACACCCGUGGCUAAGGCGGCUCUCUAGUACGGUACUGACGCUGAGACGCGAAAGCGUGGGGAGCGAACAGG
rnacentral:rRNA from 1 species